CCUACGGGUGGCAGCAGUGGGGGAUAUUGCACAAUGGGGGAAACCCUGAUGCAGCGACGCCGCGUGGGCGAAGAAGUAUUUCGGUAUGUAAAGCCCUAUCAGCAGGGAAGAAGAAAUGACGGUACCCGAGUAAGAAGCACCGGCUAAAUACGUGCCAGCAGCCGCGGUAAUACGUAUGGUGCAAGCGUUAUCCGGAUUUAUUGGGUUUAAAGGGUGGGUAGGCUGUGAGGUAAGUCAGCGGGGAAAUUCCCCCGGGCAAAGGGGUGAAGUGCCAUUGAUACUGCCUUGCGUGGAUGGGGAAGGGGUAGGAGGAAUGUGGGGUGUAGCGGGGAAAUGCAUAGAUA
rnacentral:rRNA from 1 species